ensembl:lncRNA FAM86DP family with sequence similarity 86 member D, pseudogene
AGAGUUUCGAGCGCCGCUUCCUGGCGGCGCGCACGCUGCGCUCCUUCCCCUGGCAGGGGGGCGGCGGGCGAGCGGAGAGGCCCGCGGGGCUCGCGGGAGUCCAGGGGCAGACGGGAUGGGUCUCCGUGCUGAAACCCCCGGCGCUCCUGCCACGUGAGUUCCUGGGCUCUCCCCGGUCAGGGCCGCGAGACCCGGUCCCCGUCCCUGGGGCCUGGCCAGAGUCGCUCGCACCCCUCCUGCCCCGCGAGCUGGCGGCGGAAGAUGAGGGCGUCUCCACCGCCUUGGGGGGGCAGACGCGUGCUCGGUGUGGGGUACAGUUCACGAUCAUUUUCACGACUUUUUAAAGAGCUUAGAAGCAAAGUUAAGAGACUCAUCAGAUUCUGAGCUGCUGCGGGAUAUUUUGCAGAAGACUGUGAAGCAUCCUGUGUGUGUGUGAAGCACCCGCCGUCAGUCAAGAAAGCCCGGUGCUUUCUCUCAGAACUCAUCAAAAAGACGUGCUGUAUUGCCCAGAAGCCAUCGUGUCGCUGGUCGGGAUCCUGCGGAGGCUGGCUGCCUGCUGGGAGCACCAGCAGUCUCCUGAGGUCUACGUGGCCUUUACCGUCCACAACCCAGAGACGUGCCAGCUGUUCACCACCGAGCUAGGUGAAACCAAAGAAGGGGAAACUGAGAGACCUGUCCGAAAUCCUCCACCGAGCCACUCGGGAGCCUGGAAUAGAUACAGCCGGUCAACUGACCUGUUCUCUAGGCACAGCUUUUUGGAUUUGCCACUUGCGUCUUCUUCAAGUUUUAGAAACUUCCAGACUCUGGCUUUUUUGCUGCUUUGGGGAACAAAGCAUGUUCAUUCAAGUGUACAGCAAACCUGUCCUGCUCCUAAAUCCAGUCAUCUUCAAAAUAGAUUUUUGAGGUUUACA